ensembl:lncRNA
UUUUUAUUUUAUUUUACUUUACAAUACUGUAUUGGUUUUGCCAUACAUUGGCAUGAAUCCACCACAGGUGUACAUGCAUUCCCAAACAUGAACCCCCCUCCCACCUCCCUCUCCCUAACAUCUCUCUGGGUUAUCCCCGUGCACCAGCCCCAAGCAUGCUGUAUCCUGCAUUGGACAUAGACUGGCAAUUCGAUUCUUACAUGAUAGUAUACAUGUUUCAAUGCCGUUCUCCCAAAUCAUCCCACCCUCUCCCUCUCCCUGUGAGUCCAAAAGUCUGCUAUACACAUCUGUGUCUUUUUUGCUGUCUUGCAUACAGGGUCAUCAUUGCCGUCUUUCUAAAUUCCAUAUAUAUGUGUUAGUAUACUGUAUUAGUGUUUUUCUUUCUGGCUUACUUCACUCUGUAUAAUCGGCUCCAGUUUCAUCCAUCUCAUCAGAACUGGUUCAAAUGUAUUCUUUUUGACGGCUGAGUAAUACUCCAUUAUGUAUAUGUACCACAGCUUUCUUAUCCAUUCAUCUGCUGAUGGACAUCUAGGUUGUUUCCAUGUCCUCGCUAUGAUAAACAGUGCUGCGAUGAACAUUGGGGUACAUGUGUCUCUUUCUAUUCUGGUUUCCUUGGUGUGUAUGCCCAGCAGUGGGAUUGCUGGGUCAUAAGGCAGUUCUAUUUGCAAUUUUUUAAGGAAUCUCCAAACUGUUAUCCAUAGUGGCUGUACUAGUUUGCAUUCCCACCAACAGUGUAGGAGGGUUCCCUUUUCUCCACACCCUCUCCAGCAUUUAUUGCUUGCAGAUUUUUUUUUCUUUUUUUUUUUCUUUUUUUGUUUGUCUGUUUAUUUAUUUAUUCUUUUGCUUGCAGAUUUUUGGAUCGCAGACAUUCUGACUGGUGUGAAGUGGUACCUCAUUGUGGUUUUGAUUUGCAUUUCUCUAAUAAUGAGUGAUGUUGAGCAUCUUUUCAUGUGUUUGUUAGCCAUCCGUAUGUCUUCUUUGGAGAAAUGUCUAUUUAGUUCUUUGGCCCAUUUUUUGAUUGGGUCAUAUAUUUUUCUGGAAUUGAGCUGCGUAAGUUGCUUGUAUAUUUUUGAGAUUAGUUGUUUGUCAGUUGCUUCAUUUGCUUAUUUUCUCCCAUUCAGAAGGCUGUCUUUUCACCUUGCUUAUAGUUUCCUUUGUUGUGCAGAAGCUUUUAAUUUUAAUUAGAUCCCAUUUGUUUAUUUUUGCUUUUAUUUCCAGAAUUCUGGGAGGUGGAUCAUAGAGGAUCCUGCUGUGAUUUAUGUCGGAGAGUGUUUUGCCUAUGUUCUUCUCUAGGAGUUUUAUAGUUUCUGGUCUUACAUUUAGAUCUUUAAUCCAUUUUGAGUUUAUUUUUGUGUGCGGUGUUAGAAAGUGAUCUAGUUUCAUUCUUUUACAAGUGGUUGACCAGUUUUCCCAGCACCACUUGUUAAAGAGAUUGUCUUUACUCCAUUGUAUAUUCUUGCCUCCUUUGUCAAAGAUAAGGUGUCCAUAUGUGUGUGGAUUUGUCUCUGGGCUUUCUAUUUUGUUCCAUUGAUCUAUAUUUCUGUCUUUGUGCCAGUACCAUACUGUCUUGAUGACUGUGGCUUUGUAGUAGAGCCUGAAGUCAGGCAAGUUGAUUCCUCCAGUUCCAUUCUUCUUUCUCAAGAUUGCUUUGGCUAUUCGAGGUUUUUUGUAUUUCCAUACAAAUCUUGAAAUUAUUUGUUCUAGUUCUGUGAAAAAUAUCGCUAGUAGCUUGAUAGGGAUUGCAUUGAAUUUGUAAAUUGCUUUGGGUAGUAUACUCAUUUUCACUAUAUUGAUUCUUCCGAUCCAUGAACAUGGUAUAUUUCUCCAUCUAUUAGUGUCCUCUUUGAUUUCUUUCAUCAGUCUUUUAUAGUUUCCUAUAUAUAGGUCUUUAGUUUCUUUAGGUAGGUAUAUUCCUAAGUAUUUUAUUCUUUUCGUUGCAAUGGUGAAUGGAAUUGUUUCCGUAAUUUCUUUUUCUACUUUCUCAUUAUUAGUGUAUAGGAAUGCAAGGGAUUUCUGUGUGUUGAUUUUAUAUCCUGCAACUUUACUAUAUUCGUUGAUUAGCUCUAGUAAUUUUCUGGUGGAGUCUUUAGGGUUUUCUAUGUAGAGGAUCAUGUCAUCUGCAAACAGUGAGAGUUUUACUUCUUCUUUCCAAUUUGGAUUUGUUUUAUUUCUUUUUCUGCUCUGAUUGCUAUGGCCAAAACUUCCAGAACUAUGUGGAAUAGUAGCGGUGAAAGUGGGCACCCUUGUCUUGUUCCUGACUUUAGGGGAAAUGCUUUCAAUUUUUCACCAUUGAGGAUAAUGUUUGCUGUAGGUUUGUCAUAUAUAGCUUUUAUUAUGUUGAGGUAUGUUCCUUCUAUUCCUGAUUUCUGGAGAGUUUUUAUCAUAAAUGGAUGUUGAAUUUUGUCAAAGGCAUUCUCUGUAUCUAUUGAGAUAAUCAUAUGUCUUUUAUUUUUCAAUUUGUUAAUGUGGUGAAUUACAUUGAUUGAUUUGAGGAUAUUGAAGAAUCCUUGCAUCCCUGGGAUAAAGCCCACUUGGUCAUGGUGUAUGAUCUUUUUAAUGUGUUGUUGGAUUCUGAUUGCUAGAAUUUUGUUGAGGAUUUUUGCAUCUAUGUUCAUCAGUGAUAUUGGCCUGUAGUUUUCUUUUUUGUAGUAUCUUUGUCAGGUUUUGGUAUUAGGGUGAUGGUGGCCUCAUAGAAUGAGUUUGGAAGUUUACCUUCCUCUGCAAUUUUCUGGAAGAGUUUCAGUAGGAUAGGUGUUAGCUCUUCUCGAAAUUUUUGGUAGAAUUCAGCUGUGAAGCGGUCUGGACCUGGGCUCUUGUUUGCUGGAAGAUUUCUGAUUACAGUUUCAAUUUCCGUGCUUGUGAUGGGUCUGUUAAGAUUUUCUCUUUCUUCCUGGUUCAGUUUUGGAAAAUUGUACUUUUCUAAGAAUUUGUCCAUUUCUUCCACGUUGUGCAUUUUAUUGGCAUAUAAUUGCUGAUAGUAGUCUCUUAUGAUCCUUUGUAUUUCUGUGUUAAUUUUAAUCUUUUUAAAUGUACUGAGACUUAUUUUGUGACCUAACAUAUAAUCUAUCCUGGAAAAUGUUUUAUGUGAGCUUGAGAAGAUUGUGUAUUCUGCUGUUUUUGGAUAUUCUGUGUAUAUCUGUAAGAUCUAGUUAAUUUAGUAUUGUUCAAGUCCUCUAUUUCCUUAGUGAACUUCUGUCUAGAUGUUCUGUUCAAUAUUGGAGUAUUGGAAUCUCCCAAUCUCCCACUAUUGUUGUAGAACUGUUUCUCUGUUCAAUUGUGUCAAUAUUUGAUUCAUAUAUUUUGGGUUUCUGUUUGACAUGUAUGCAUUAUAGUUUCUAUAUCAUCUUAAUGAGCUGACUCUGUCAGUGUAUAAUGACUUUCUUUGCCCUUUAACAAUUUUUUAUUUUUUAAUUUAAAGUCUACUUUUUAUUUAAAGUUUAAUUUUAACAUGGCUACCUCAGCUCUCUUUUGGUUACUAUUUGCAUGGAGUGUCGUCUUCCAUCCUUUCAACUUAUAUGUGUGUUAGGAUCUAAAGUGAGUUUAAAGUGAGUCUCUUGUAGACAGCAUAUAGUUGGAUUUUUUUUUUCAUCCAUCUACCAGUUCUUGUCUUUUAAUUGACGGGUUUAAUUUCUUUAUAUUUAAGGUGAUUAUUGGUAAGAAAGUACUUAUGAUAUCUUGCUAUUUAUUUUCCUCUAUCUUAUGUCUUAUCUCCUAUCUUUUUUGUUCCUCAGUUCCUUCAAUACUGAAUUUUGUUUAAUUUAUUUUCAAUGUAUUGUUUUGAUCCUCUCUUUAUUUCCUUUUCUAUAUAUAUAUUUUAGAUUUCCUCAGUGGCUACUGAGUGGGAUUAUAAUUAACAUCUUAAAUUUUAUAACAGUCUCAUUUGAAUUGAUACCAACUUAGCUUCAAUACUGUACAAAAAAUUCUUAUUUUGCUCCUAUAUAGCUCCAUCUCUCUCCUUAUGUUUUGUCACAAAUUACAUCUUGAUAAAUUAUGUGUUGAUUAACUAGUUUCAUAAUUAUUGUUUUGUGUGUUUUUCUUUUUAAAAUUAAUUAAUUUUAAUUGGAGGCUAAUUACUUUACAAUAUUAUAGUGGUUUUUCCAUACAUUGACAUGAAUCAGCCUGUGUGUUUGUCUUUUAAAUCAUAUAGAAAACAAGGAGAGUGGUCACAAACCAAAUAAUACUGGCUUUUAUAUUUACUAUGUUACCUUUCCCAGAUUUCUUUCUCCUUUGUAUGGCUCUGAGUUAUUGAGUUACUGUCUGUUGUCCUUUUAUUUCAACCUAAAGACUUCCCUUUAGCAUUUCUUGUAGUCUAGCAUUGUCUAAUAGUGAUAAACUCCCUCAGGUUUCACUCUCUAGGAAGGCUUAAGGUUUUAAUUUCCUCUUUGUUGUGAAGGAUAGUUUUGUUGGAUUCUUGGUUGAGAGUUUCUUCUUUUAGCAUUUUAUGCCACCCCAGUCUUCUGACCUCCAUGACUUUUGGUGAUAAAUCAGCUGUUAAUCUUAUUGAAGAUCCUUUGUACAUGAUGAGUCACUUCUCUUGUGCUGCUUUCAAUAUACUCUCUGUCUUUUGUCACUUUGAUUGUAAAGUGACUUGGUCUGGAUCUCUUUGAGUUUGCUCUGUUUGGAGUUUGUUCUACUUCUUGGAUGUGUAGAUUCAUGUCUUUUGAUGAAUUUGGAGAGUUUUCAACCGUUAUUUUUUGCCACUUUUCACUCUCUCCUCUUUCUGUAACUCCCAUAAUGCAUAUGUUGGUCUGUUUGUUGGUGUCCUAUGCGUCCUUUAGGCUCUGUUUAUUUUUCCUAACCAUCUUUUCUUUCUGAUACUCACAUGAUUUCAGUAGUUCUCUCUUCCAGUUUACUCAUUUCUCUCCUGCCAACUUGAAUCUAAAGCUGUUGAACCCCCAGAGUGAGUUUUUCAUGUCAGCUACUGUACUUUUCAGUUCUAGAAUUUUAUUUGGUUCUUUUUAUAUCUUUAUAUUGAUAUUUGUUCAUUCUCCUGGGGGUUUUUUUGUCCAUUAUUUUCUUUAGCUCUUUGAGCAUAUCCAAGACAGUUGGUUGAAAAUAUUUGCCUAGUAAGUACAGUGUCUGGGCUUCCUUGGUGAUGGUUUCUAUAAAUUUCUUUUUUUCCUAUGAAUGAACCAUAUUUUCUUUAUUCUUUUUAUACCUUGUGAUUUUUUAGUUUAAAACUGGACAUUUUGACUAUUAUAACUUGUCAGCCUGGGAAUCAAAUCCCCUUCCCAGGGUUUGCUGUUAUUGAAGUCUGUAGCCAUCAUUUGUUUAUUGAAUUUUCCAAACUGUUUUUGUUAAGACUGUAUGUUUGUGUGUGGUCCUUAAAUCUCUGUUCCAUUAUCACAGCAGUCAGUGACCUGAUGGAGAUUUCUUUAAAUGCCUGGAGUGGAAAAUCGAAUAAAAACAGACUAAAACCCCACCUCUCCUGGUCUUUGCAGACACUGACCUGGGGGAGGGGUGCUAAGUACUUCAGUGCUAAGCCAAUUUUCCUAGAACUCUGCCUUAACCUUCACUUUCUGGCUGCAUGAAGCCCAAAGUUUAGCUGAACAUGCAAGCCUCAGGUCCUCUCAGGUCUUUUCUGAACCUUUAUCUGUCCCUGGGCAUGUAUUUUUCAUCCGGAAUUUCCCCAUACACCUGGUAGCCAUCUAGAGUUCUUAUUUCCCUGUGUCUUCCUCAUCAGUCUUCUCAACUUUUAGAUUUGUCUCCUGGUUGUUCCAUUCACUGUUUCUUUAUCUAGGCAGCCACUGGUAGUAUAUGUCUUUAAAUGGUUUCAGUGAAUGUUUUGAAAGCUGCUCCAGCUUGAGGGAAGCAAAACAGGGUCAGCCUUAGCACAGAUCCUUCAGAGAACCACCAAACAAGGCAAAAUCCACAGCUACAAUCUUUUGAGAACAAGGUGCAUAUUGCCAUAUUGCUUUCUCCUGGUAGUAGCAAGCUAUACCAGGAAUGUGGACUGCUAUCCCAAUGGCCACCUCCAAGCUGUGGAAUAAGACAUGUUAGAUAGGUAAGCAAAAAUGCUGCAAUGCUUUUUUACUGAAAUUUUGCAGCUACUUUUUUCAUUAAGCACACCACUGGUUGGACUCCAUUGUAAAAUUUUUAUUAGAUUCCAAAGUUCUCAAGAAGAUGAUUCUGUCAGUUUUUGCCAGCUUGAUGAUAACUUCAGUGGAGGAACUGAUUCUUGGAGCUCUCUGCUCUGCCAUUUCUGUGACAUUAUAGUAUAUUACUUUUUGAGGAACUGUCAAUCUGUUUUCCACAGCAGCUGUACCACUUUACAUUCCUACCAGAAAUGUGAGGUUUAAUUUUUUCCACAUCUUUCCAACACUUUUUAAAAAUAUAUAUUUAUUUUUUAAUUUUUUAAAUCUAUUUGUUUAUUUUUGUCUAUGCUGGACCUUCGUUGCUGUGCAUGGGCUUUCUCUAGUUGUGACAAGUGGGAGCUACUCUCUAGUCAUGAUGUGUGGGCUUCUCAUUGCGGUAGCUUCUCUUUUUACAGAGCAUUGGCUCUAAGGCGCACAGGCUUCAUUAGUUGUGGCACAUGGGCUUAGUUACCUCAUGGCACAUGGAAUCUUCCCAGACCAGGGAUCAAACCCUUGUUCCUUGCAUUGACAGGAGGAUUCUUAACCACUGGACCUCCAACAUUUGUUACUUUCUGUUUUACUUUUUUAAUUAUAGCCAUCCUAGUGGGUAUGAAGUGGUAUCCUUAUUGUUUUGAUUUGCAUUUAUUUAAUGAUUAAUGAUGUCAAGCAUCUCUUUAUGUGCUUGUCAGCCAUUUGUGUAUCUUCUUUGGAGAACUGUCCAAAUCCUUAAUUAGGACUGUUUUGGUUGUAACAGAAACUGAACUCAUACCGCUUAAGAAAAAAGAAAAAGAAAAAAAGAAUAGAUGGUAAUUUGUGGUUUGGUAACUAGGAAACCAAAUCAGAGUUAGAUCCAGGAUGUCAAAAGUGUCAUUGGGCCUCUUUGUUCCCCAUUUCCUCACCUCUGCUUAACUUCUUAUUUUCUCUUCACUAAGGGGCAAGUUAAGCCCUGGAGUCUCAAGUUACCAUUGUUUUUACAGGCUUCUAUGUAGGAAAUGAGAGUGUAUCUUUCCUUAUAGCUCCAAAAAAUUCUCAGGGAGGAUGUUGAUUCAUGUGAAUUGGGCUACAUUUCUAUCUUUGAACAAUUACUGUGGCCAAGUGGAUGAAGUAUCCAGACCAAGCCCCAGUCAUUAGCUCACCCUGGGAAGGCAGGGUCUACCUUGCUGAGGAAUCUAGACUAAGUUGAAUUAAUGUGCACUAAGGAAAAUGAGAUUCUCCAAAAGAAAUGCUUCUAAGUAGAAAAUAAAAUGUUCAUUUAGUACCUUCUUUGUUUAGCCUUCUUCUUUGUGGCUUUUUAUCAAAAGAUGGGUGCUCAGGUUUUUAUCUCCACUAAGAUACUAGUAAUUGCUGCCCUUUUUUUGGUGGUGAGUUGUGGGGUAUACGAGAUUAGAAAUAAAGACCUUAUAGCUCUACAUGUUCCAAAAGCUCAGGAGAAGAGGAGAAAGAACCCAAUCAUUUUGGAGUUGGGAAGAGGGUAGAACUUGGCUUCUGAUUCUGUGAACUUGAACUUCAUAGAGGAACUGAAAGACUUCUCUAUAAAAAGGUUCAUCUGAUGGCAAGUUGAUGCUGAGAAACAAAGGAAAAAUUGGACAGACUCUUGAAAGCUUCAAAAUGUUGAUUAUGCAGCAGCAAUUAUUUACAAGUGGGAGGAUUAGUGUAUUUCAAGAAAGUAUUUCAGUUUUGUGUGUAUGUUUCUAUUUUUGUGUGUGUUUUUUGUUUGUUUUCACUUUUCAUUUAUAAAAAGUACAGCUUUCUAGUUGGAGGGGAUAUUCAAAACAUGGAAUGAGAAAGCACAGGGUUAUGGGUAAUAAAGGUUGAAAAACACAAUGAUAAAGAGAUAAGACUGAUUUUUUGAUAAUAUACAGAACUGAGUGAAACCUUUUAAAGGAGUCAUUGUAGAUACAAAUUUUGAUAAUGCCUUAAAAGUAACAAGCAUAUGACCAUGUACUUGAAAAAGUCUACAAUAGUAUAAAAUAAGUGAUUUAUAGUUGUAAUUAAAACUCAUUGCAGCACUAACCUGACAUAUGAUAACAUAUCAGUAAGGUGCUUUAUAGUUUAUAUAACACUUUCCUGCAGUCUCUCCUUUGCCAUAUAUUUAAUGAUGGCAUAAUUGUGCUACCUGCUAAUUUGACUUAAUUAGUAAGUUCUUGUGAAUGACUGUAAUUAGAGGGACUGAUUUACUGCCCAAGCAAAUUUUCAGUUCUCUUUUUACUUUAUUAGUUAUAAUCACGAUCAGUUUAAAUCGUAUUCCAUUUUGCAUCGUACAUGCUGAUCCUUAUGUAUAUUAAGAAACAACUACUGAUUCUUAUUCCUUGACAGCUGAACUCCUCUUGCUCCAGGGCUUUUGUUAUAACAAAACUUUCAACCCCUACCAGUCCACUGAUAUCUCCCACUGGUCCUCAUCUACUCACACUGGAGGGAUACUUGUGUGCAACAUUUAACAUUCAUUCACCAAAAAAUAUUUAUUGAGCACCAUGUGCCAGAAAUUGAGCAAGACACUGGAAGCAUACAUAGUCCUGGGUCCUGCCUUCACAGGGUCACAGACUAAUGGGGUAGACAGAGCCUAGAUUGUGGCAGGAGAGGUGGGCAGAAAGUUGGCAGACUUCUUUUUCCUCAUUUGGUUCAGCACUCAGGAAGGGAAAACAUAGCUAUCAUAGGUUGCACUCCCUCUACCCUCAGCACAGGAUGCUGUAGGAGGGAGUGCCUGGGGCCAAUAGCCUGGUACUAAAUAGGUGAGGGGGAGAGCUGAGGUUAGGCAGGAGUUAGUGAGGUGAAGAUAUUGGAGAAGCAAGUUCCCAGAAAAGAGGUAGCAUCUGCAAAGGCCCUAAUGCAGGAAAUAACUUGGCAGAUUUAAGAAGCUCGUUUAGUAUAAUUACAGAAAUUGAGGCAACAGGAGAAAUGGCUUAGAAGACUGGAAAGGCGGAGAAUCCUAGAACCAAGUUAAAAAUUUUAUCUUGAGGGACUUCCCAGGUGGGCCACUGGUUGAGAAUCUGCCUGUCAGUGCAGGGGACACAAGUUUGAUCCCUGGUCUAGGAAGAUCCCAUAUACUGCAGGGCACCUGAGCCCAUGCACCACAACUGCUGAAGCCAGCAUGCCUAUAGCCUGUGCUAUGCAACAAGAGAAGCCACCACAAUGAGAAGCCUGUGCACCACAAUGAAGAUUAUCCCCAGUGCCACAACUACAGAAGCCCUGCACACAGCAACAAAGACCCAAUACUGCCAAAAAUACAUUAAUUAAGACAAUACUUUAUCUUGGUGCUAAGAAGCCAUGGAAAAGUUUUAAUGACAUUUCCCUGCCUCUUGUAUCUCAACCCAUUAGUUACCUGGAUAGGCCCUCUUAUCUUCAGGUACAGAGAUGCUAUGCAGACAAGUGUAGUAUCCUUUCAGACUGAAACACAUGGAUAGCUUAGCAGAAACCAUACUUAGGAGCAUCAGGUAGAAAAAUAUGAACUCAAGAGUCAGAUGCAUGAAGGUCUAUUAAUGUAUAAUAUUGAACACAUUUCUUAACCUCUCCAAGCCACUUUCCUUUUCUGUACAAUUGGUAAUGUAACAUUGAAAUCCAUUACCACAUUGUUGUUAGAUCAGAAAUAACAAGUACAGUACCUGUGAUUGGCAUUCCAUAGGUGUUAGCUGCCACUAUUUUAGCAAUGCUCCCUUGCUAGCACAAAUUUCAAACCCUCUUGGGGAAUGGAAUCACAAUAUAUCAUCAAAUUAUGAAGAAACCUUAAAGAUGUCUGUAUAUGAUGCUUGGAUUUUUUCUGCAACACUGAUGAACAGUUGGUUUGUUCUCCAGCAUUACUUGUAACAUCCAAAGACAGGAAGCUCACUACUGUCCGAAGCAGCCACUCCAUGUUUGGCUGUAUUAGCAGGUUCUUUUCUUAGACUGAAUCCACAUCUGCUCCCCUAUGACUUCUGUUCAGGGACCUCAGCAGUAGUAACACCUCUCCCCUGUGACAGUCCUCCAGGUGCUGGAGGUCAUUAUCUCCAUUUACCACUCACCUAGAGUUGAAAAGCUUGUUUUUUCACCUAACAACAAUGAUAAAGGGUCAAUUAAUCAAGAAAACAAUUACAAAACAUAUAUAUACCUAACAAUACAAUGUGAAGUGUUAAUGGGAGAUUUUAAUAGUAGCUUACUCCUUGGAAGGAAAGUUAUGACCAAC